rnacentral:rRNA from 1 species
UACAGAGGUCUCAAGCGUUGUUCGGAUUCAUUGGGCGUAAAGGGUGCGUAGGCGGCGCGGUAAGUCGGGUGUGAAAUCCCGGGGCUCAACCUCGGAAUUGCAUUCAAUACUGCUUCGCUCGAGUACUGGAGAGGAGGCUGGAAUUUACGGUGUAGCAGUGAAAUGCGUAGAUAUCGUAAGGAAGGCCGGUGGCGAAAGCGAGCCUCUGGACAGUUACUGACGCUGAUGCACGAAGGCCAGGGGAGCAAACGGG